UCCGGUUUGUCACCGGCAGUCCCAUUAGAGUGCUCAUCUGAAUGUGGCAACUAAUGGCAAGGGUUGCGCUCGUUGCGGGACUUAACCCAACAUCUCACGACACGAGCUGACGACAGCCAUGCAGCACCUGUGUUACGGCUCCCUUUCGGGCACGCCUGCAUUUCUGCAGGCUUCCGUACAUGUCAAGGGUAGGUAAGGUUUUUCGCGUUGCGUCGAAUUAAACCACAUGCUCCACCGCUUGUGCGGGCCCCCGUCAAUUCCUUUGAGUUUCAACCUUGCGGUCGUACUCCCCAGGUGGAUUACUUAUCGCUUUCGCUUGGACACUCAGGGUUGCCCCCGAACAUCUAGUAAUCAUCGUUUACAGUGUGGACUAC
rnacentral:misc_RNA from 1 species